CCUACGGGAGGCAGCAGUGAGGAAUAUUGGUCAAUGGGCGAGAGCCUGAACCAGCCAAGUCGCGUGAAGGAUGACGGCCCUACGGGUUGUAAACUUCUUUUGUCAGGGAGCAAUUGAGUCCACGUGUGGUCUUAGCGAGAGUACCUGAAGAAAAAGCAUCGGCUAACUCCGUGCCAGCAGCCGCGGUAAUACGGAGGGUGCGAGCGUUAAUCGGAAUUACUGGGCGUAAAGCGCUCGUAGGCGGUAUGUCAAGUCAAGGGUGAAAUCCCCGCGCUCAACGUGGGAACUGCCUUUGAAACUGGCAAACUGGAGUGUGUGAGAGGAUAGUGGAAUUCCAGGUGUAGGAGUGAAAUCCGUAGAUAUCUGGAGGAACAUCAGUGGCGAAGGCGACUAUCUGGCACAUAACUGACGCUGAGGAGCGAAAGCGUGGGUAGCAAACAGGAUUAGAUACCCUUGUAGUC
rnacentral:rRNA from 1 species